rnacentral:lncRNA from 1 species
CCCCCAAAUAACUUCUCAACUGAGUCAACAAGUACUUGUUUCACUCGACUGCUUGGAACACUUGAAAUCUGGAAACAGUCUUCUGCGAUGAUUAACUGAGUGGGUACGACAGGACCCGUAUCAGGCAAUUGGAGUAACACUCGUCCAAGUCUAUUCAAAAUUGCAGGAUUCCUUGCAAACCAUCCUAUAUCAGAAGUUAGUGUCAAAAGGAUAGUUUCCGAUUGCUUAGAGUGCUAGAUAGAUCAUUCGCAUAGGUAAAGCUUUCGAAGUACUAUAUUUCCAAUUGCAGAAAAAUUUAAACAAAGAAGUGUCACAAGUAAUAAUCAACAAAAAUGCAGAAUGCAUGGAUGGCAUAUGAAUCAUUAAAGCGGAAGAAGUUAGCUACUUUCUAGAAACAGAAAUAGAGAUUUCCUGUUAUAUAAAAUCAAGGGAAAACCAAAACAUGACUUUUUUUUGUCACAACCAGAAAUCUAUUUCCUAAGCCAGUCUGCAAUAUAAAAUGUCAUUGAUUUCUCACCCACUGUAUCGAAACUUUGUGCCAGAGGAGUAACUCCAGAAGUAGAAAUGACGCCAUGAGAUGGCCGAAACCCAAAAAUUCCACAAUAUGAAGCAGGAACUCUUACACUUCCUCCAGUAUCGGUUCCUGAAAAAGUGAGGGCCUUGUGCUUCAACUUAAAGAAGCAAGAAAACAACAAAAGCACACAAGGAAUAACUUACCUAAGGAAAAAUCUGCGAGGCCUGCAGCUACGACAACAGCAGAACCGCUAGAAGAGCCUCCAGGCACCCUAUCUGGUGCGCACGGAUUUCUGGGUGUGCCAUAAUGCUUGUUCUCUCCAUUCAUACUGCCAACAACACAAUGCAAAAUUCAAGGGCGUUUUCUGUUGAGUGAUUUUCGAAUGUCCAAAAUCAUUAUAUAAAUACUUUUACCACGAAAAUAGACUUGUAGGGAUCAAUCAUUUGUCAAAAUUUUUUGCAAACAAAACAGUAAUGCAAGUUUAAGCAUGUGAAGUAAGACAAGGCCUCUUUGCACUAACCAGUAAGCCAUUUCAUCCAUGACAGUUAUACCAAUACUUGUGGCACCUCCACUCAAUAUUGCCGAAACAGCCGGAGCUGUUGAUUCAGCAGCCGGGUGAGUCCUCGCCCAAUCAGGAUUCCCAAACCCAGUCACACGUCCAGCCACAUCAAAUCUGCCUCCAAGUUCAAAUUUUAGUGAAUACAAAAAUGUUUUGGCUUUUACACACACACACACACAAGAAAAAAAAAAUUGCACAAUUCAACACCCUGAAGUUCAUCAUCAUGGUUCCACAAGCACGCAUAAAACCACACAAAGCAGGAAGAUUUAUUAAAACGCUUCUCUGAAAAAGCACUUCUCAUCAUAAGUGCUUUUGUUGGAAGUAUUUUAACUUUAGUAGAAGCAAAUCCACCACAAAGUUUCAUUAAAAAUUCAAGUGCUUCAGGUAAAAAUAAAAAAUAAAAAAACUUUUGAACUUUUUUCUUUCUUUCUGAAAGUGCUUUUAGUCAUUCUCAAAUGAAGAAACGCCCAAUCACAGAAACAACCCACAAAAUUGGGUUGUUGUUGGAGAAAACUGCUUGAAUUCAAAUCCGAAAUUCGCAAGCAUCCACCAAAUAGAAGAGUGAUAUAAAUGAGGAAAAUUUAAGAGAGUAGCUCUCACAUGUCUUUAACAGCAAAGGUGAGGCUGCUCAGAGGAAGGUCAUGUGACGAAGACGGCGGCCGAAGAAGGAAUUUCUCCACGAAAGCUCCAUGUUCUGAGUCUAUCGCCAUCCCUCUCUGCCACUGCUGUCUCAGACAAUCUCAGCCUCAGCAGCAGCUCCACAUUUUGAUGACAGAAGUGAACAGCUCUCCACUCAUCAAUCAUGCGAUGAUCACUUCAGCCAGUGAGGACAAAUAUUAUUCCUUAAAAAAAAUCUGUGUUGAUAAGGCGGUCACUUCAGCCAGUGAGGACAAACUGGAAAUUCUGGAGGUUGCUUAAGUCCUCACUGUGGUCGUUAGACAUUGAGAAUCGAUAAAGUGGUACUUAAAAGCAGGAAAAACAACUUACCAUAAAAUCUGAAACAUCAAAUGUGUUUAAAAGGUCGUACCCAGUGCACAAGGCUCCCGCUUUACGCAGGGUUUGGGAGAGGUGAAUGUCGGCUAGCCUUACCCCCAUUUAUGGAGAGGCUGCUCUCAAGUCUCGAACCCGAGACCUACCGCUCAUGGGCGAAGGCACUUGCCAUCGCACCAAGUGCGACCUCAAAUGUGUUUGGUAAAAAAAAAAAAAGCUUAUUUAAAAAAUUGUUGUCAAUGACAACAAAAAAGCAUAGAAAAGCAGAAGUAGGAUCUACUAUGCUUUAAAAUUAUCUAAGCAUAGUGAACAGUGGCCAUUUGAUGAAAUUUUCAAAUAGCAAGUAUACCCCUGCCUUUUUUACAAAAUAACAAUCGUUGCCCGUGGAAUAUUAUCUUUGACAACUAUUAUAGGGAAUUAUUAUUAGCAUUCCAAAAGUCUCAUUUGACAUUCCAAACUUUCUAUAAUUAGAAAGAAAAAAAACACUUGUGAGGAGUGUAGAAUGAGAUUUUUGGAAUGCUAAUAACAGUUCCGUUAUUAUAUCACAUUAAAUGCCAUAUCAUUUUUAGUAUUUAACAUAUUCACAUUAAUUUUAUAUAAAAGUUGACAUAACACUCAGAUACUGUUUUCUUUUUUUUUACAAGCACUUUUACAAUAAAAGUUUAUUAAACGCUUAACAACUUUAUUUUACAGCUGUUCUGCUGUUUUUUUUUUUUUUUUUAACAUAACAAUACCAAACUAGCAAAACUUACAAGCACAUAUAUCAGGAAAAGAUUAUCAGAGUCUGCAACUCAAAAUCUUGUAGUCAACAUUCACAACUUCCCGACGUGUUCUUUGAGAGUGUCGUAAAGAGUCUCGACAAGAUUGAGCAGGAACCCGUCCGAGCCAUGCUUUGCCAGCAAGGAAACUGAAACGGGUAGGUUAUCGUACAUCCCUAGUGGUAUAGUCACCUGCAAAUACGUAGAAAUACGUUACAAACUUUCACAAGAUAUUUGCAGUCAUUGAAGAAGAAAAAGAUCGUAGUCAUAUACAAACAUGGAGACUGGAGAGGGGGAGGGAGAAGUAGAGAUAGAUAGAGGGCUUAAAAACCUGGCAGAAUCCGGAAACUACGGCAAUGGAUAGGAAGCUGAAAGCCCUGGCACGAAAAUUGUGCAGUGUUGUAGGAUCUGUUUGCAGCUUUGGUGGAUCCCCUGGAACUGUAGGCAUUGCGAGGACACCGAAAUCCUGAUGAGUAAAUCAAAGAGAUUGUGUUAUGUAUUCAUUAGAGACGGUAUGUAUCAUCCAUUUCUUCUGCUAAAGGUACCUUUUUAAGAGCAAAAGGAAGGAAGAUGCUAACAAAUAACAGUUUGUCAAAGAUGAGAGAGAGAGAGAGAGAGAGAGAGAGUACCCCGAGAAGGUCAGUAAGAGCAGCACGCAAUUCAGUCAUCACGGAGUGACAAACAUCGACAUUUUCAUCUGUUGACCGAACAGCUGCCCAUAUACGUUCUCCUAUCCCGGGACCUAAGUCAGGUCUGACUGUACUAACCCAUUCACCAUGGUUGCUCUUGAAUUCAUACCUAUUCUAUCAACCAAAUGAUAAAUUUGGAAUUCAUUAUGAACGACAAAUUUGAAUUUUGUUGAUCAAGAUGAAGAUGCAGAAAUUAUCACACUCAUAUUCAAGUCGACCAAAUCAGCACCUUUCAAGUAGACGAUCGGCGGUUGAUAGGGCUGCCAAUGACGGUAUAAUGUACUCUUCACUUGGAUUUCCUUUAUCCAAGAAAGAGUUCAAGCUUGGAACUUUGUCCUUGACAACGUCCCCAAGGUUAGCAUGUUUUAUAACAUGACCUGCAUUUGCAGAUAUAACGAGUGAGCUUCUUCUUUCCAUGUUAUGAACUUGUCCCUAUCUCAGCAGGAGACCUAAUUUAAUUAAGUGAAUGAUGAUUUUCAGGUAAUAAUCUGUCUACUGAAUUUAAUGGUCUAUUUGUGUCUUAAAAUGCGAGGGAAUUAUAAAUUGGACUCGAUUCAUGUCAAUCAAAGUACUUACAGCAAGAGAUGAAACAGAUGAAUAUGGUCAAAUCACUUACCCCCAAAUAACUUCUCAACUGAGUCAACAAGUACUUGUUUCACUCGACUGCUUGGAACACUUGAAAGCUGGAAACAGUCUUCUGCGAUGAUUAACUGAGUGGGUACGACAGGACCUGUAUCAGGCAAUUGGAGUAACACUCGUCCAACUCUAUUCAAAAUCGCAGGAUCCCUUGCAAACCAUCCUAUAUCAGAAGUUAGUGUCAAAAGGAUGGUUUCCAAUUGCUUAGAGUGCUAGAUAGAUCAUUCGCAUAGGUAAAGCUUUCGAAGUACUAUAUUUCCAAUUGCAGAAAAACUUAAACACAGAAGUGUCACAAGUAAUAAUCAACAAAAAUGCAGAAUGCCUGGAUGGCAUAUGAAUCAUUAAAGCGGAAGAAGUUAGCUACAUUCUAGCAACAGAAAUAGAGAUUUCCUGUUAUAUAAAAUCGAGGGAAAACUGAAACAUGACUUUUUUUGUCACAACCAGAAAUCAAUUUCCUAAGCCAGUCUGCAAUAUAAAAUGUCAU